rnacentral:tRNA from 1 species
AUAUAGCCAAGCGGUAAGGCAGCGGAUUUUGAUUCCGUGAUGCGCAGGUUCGAAUCCUGCUAUCCCAGCCA